GCCCGCGUGGCGUAGUGGUUUGAGCGCUGGACUGCGGCUUUGGAGGGACAGGGUUCGAUCCCCGGCUGGGCG